CAGCCACCUUUUAAAACGCGUCAAAGCGUAACCUUAGCCCCCAAAAUACCAUUAAUUUUCAUGAACCCCUAAUCUAUAAUGAAUGACUCCAUAUUUAUAUGGAAGACACCAUGCUAGGAUUAGUAACAAGAAUUUAUAAUUCUCCAAAAUGCAAAUAUAAACCAACAUGGAUGGACCAUUGGUAGUUACCGAACCUAAAUUCAAUGCAACAACACCUACAAGAAAACUCUGCAGUACUUACUCGUUAACCUAACACCAGCGCAUUACAGGAAAGAUUUAAAAAAAGAGAAGGAAUUCGGCAAAUGACGGCCCCGCCUGUUUACCAAAAACAUCGCCUCUUGACUUAUAAUAAGAGGUCCAGCCUGCCCAGUGAAUUUUAAACGGCCGCGGUAUCCUAACCGCGCGAAGGUAGCAUAAUCACUUGUUCUUUAAAUGGGGACUCGUAUCAACGGCAUCACGAGGGUUUUACUGUCUCCUCUUUUUGAUCAGUGAAAUUGAUCUUCCCGUGAAGAAGCGGGAAUAAAUUUAUAAGACGAGAAGACCCCAUGGAGCUUUAAACCAAAUAACAACUUAACCACUUAUCCCAUAAUAAAUUUAAGCCCUGUUAUAAGGUUUUUGGUUGGGGUGACCGCGGAGUAAAACACAUCCUCCACGACGAAAAAAACAGAAUCUUUAUUUAAGAACCACACUUCUAGAAAUUAGUAUACUAACGUUUACUGACCCGACAAUCGAUCAACGGACCAAGUUACCCUGGGGAUAACAGCGCAAUCUACUUCAAGAGCUCAUAUCGACAAGUAGGCUUACGACCUCGAUGUUGGAUCAGGGUAUCCCGGUGGUGCAGCCGCUACCGAAGGUUCGUUUGUUCAACGAUUAAAACCCUACGUGAUCU
rnacentral:rRNA from 1 species